rnacentral:lncRNA from 1 species
GGGGUGGGGAUCUCGACCAUUUUUAAAUUAUAAAACAGGAGGGGUGGGGUGACCCAAGGGACUCCCCCUAUAUUUCAUCUGAUUUGUUAUAUUGUCACAAACAUGAAUAUAUACAUGUAUGCAAAGCAUGGGUUGUUCUCAGCUUAAUAAAGAAUAUUCCGAUAAUUUUACCUCAAUUUUUUUUUAGCCUUGCUCGGCUCGGAGAAAAUUUAAGUUUGCGCCCCUCCUAACCUAAAAUCCUGGAUCUGCCCCUCAUAUGGAUUAGGGGUGGGAAGCUCGACCGUUUCCAAGUUAUUAAACAGGAGGGGGUAGAGUGGCCCAAAGGAUGCUACCUAUAUAUCAUAUGAUUUACUUACAUUCAGGUAUAUAUAAUAUAGUUGCAUUAUUUGUGAAAAUAAAGAAAGAAACUUUCAGCUACUUCAAUUGACCCUUCAAAAUUGAGAUAAAAAAAUAACCCUUCGAAAUUGCAGUAAUAUGUUUAUACUUAAAAAGCAUCUCACAUGCGUUAUCAUCAUUUAUCACUGAUAAAGAAAAUUUAGACUGUGACCAUGAACAUGUAUAUUGUUAGAUAUACUGUUCCCAGCUGUCACGUUGUAUUGGAUUUUUAAAUUGAAAUUUGUCAAAAAGAAUUUUGAGUUUCUGUAUUGAAUAUUUUUUCUGCUUUUUCUUUCUUUUACAUAUAUCUUUUGGUUUACAAUUCUAGUGUUUAUAUUCAUUUACCAUGAGGCCCCUCAUGGGGGGGGGGGGUCCUAGUAAUCACAUAAUCACCAUUUUUUUGCUAAUAUAAUCACAUAAUCAUUAAAUAUUUGCUUAUCUUUAGUAAUCAAAUAAUCAUAAACUAAAAAUACAGUCCUAGGUAAUCAAAUAAUCAUGAAAUAUUUGGCUUAAUAAUCAAAUAAUCAUUAAAAAAACGGCCAAGUAAUCACAUAAUCAAAAACCCCAUGAGGGCCCUCUACCAUGUAUGGAUGUAUUCUGCUUGGAUUUAUUUUGUAAUUGACCGCCAAACCCGGAAUUACCCUUAUUCGCUUCCGGAAUCGGAUCCGAUAUUGUAAAGUUGUGUCUUUACAGCCGCCAUUGUUAUGUGUUUACAAUGUUGUUUUUGUCAAUCAGAUACGAUUUUACUCGAAUUUAUACAAUAUUUAUCGGCGAUUUUCUGUAUAAAGCUAGCGGUUGAACAAAAUGAACAUCGCUGUCAUGAAUAAUAAUGAUAAAAAUAAGUUUUUAGCUCGUUUAAUUGGAGACUUUGGUGAACAGGUUUGCAAAGUUAAUUUUUAUUUUCUUUCAAGUGGAAGGUGACUACGUCGGGCGUAGCUAGAAACCAACUAUCCUUGUCGAAAUUCCGCUUGCAAAUGUGGAAUGUCGCGGACCUCGGACCAACGCUAAUUUGCACACCUGCCUCCAAAUUGAAAAGAUACGAAAAUUUCUUUUUCUAAUUUGAAAUUGCCGCCAACAGCAUGAACAGUUGAACUUAUUAUAUAAUAGACUACUGACGUAGUUGUACUACGUAUUGAUGACAAACAAUAUUCCUACGACUUUUGCCAUUUGGGAAAUUUAAACUACUUGUCUUUAGAGAUUUUCGGCGAUUAAAUAUUUCAUACGAUUGUUCUUUGACAUCUUGGCCAAAAGCACAAGUCAUAAUGAACUACACAAGGAUUCUUAAUAAGCACUACUUCCUAUGUGUAACUUCAAAACUUUUGGAUAAAUCGACGAUCGUUUAAGGUUUUUCUGGUCAUAUUUUUUGUAAUCCAGAAUAAAAAGUAUUAAAAAAGUGUUCAAUUAGUUAUAUAUAACAUAGUAGCGAGCUAGAUAAUAACAAUGGCAAGUAUUUCAGCAUUUAUUGGGUAGAACACAAAUCUAGGGUGCUCGCAUAAUGCAGCUUAACUGCAUAAAAAUGUU